GGUUUCCAGAGUAAAGCUGAUCUGCUCUGGGUAAGUCGGGGCCUAAGGCGAGGUCAAAAGACGUAGCCGAUGGACAACAGGUUUAGAUUCCUGUACCGCAUAUAAACAGAACUGUGGGGACGCAUGGGGAGAGCAUGGGCCGGGAAUGGAAAUACCGGUGCAAGCGAAGGAGGUGUGCAGCCGGCAAAUCCGCUGCAUGAGCCGAAAGCGUGACGCGGAGCGAAAUAAAAGUAGCGAAGCAUGUGAGCCCUGUGCCGAGAAAAGCCGCUAUUGCUUUAUAUGUGCCCGUACCGUAAACCGACACAGGUGGAUGAGGAGAGAAUCCUAAGGCCGGCGGAAGAAGUAUUGUUAAGGAACUCGGCAAAAUGACCCCGUAACUUCGGGAGAAGGGGUGCCCACGGGAGUGGGCCGCAGAGAAUAGGCUCAAGCAACUGUUUAGCAAAAACACAGGUCUAUGCGAAACCGAAAGGUGAAGUAUAUGGGCUGACGCCUGCCCGGUGCUGGAAGGUUAAGAGGAGAGGUUAGAGCAAUCGAAGCUUUGAAUUUAAGCCCCAGUAAACGGCGGCCGUAACUAUAACGGUCCUAAGGUAGCGAAAUUCCUUGUCGGGUAAGUUCCGACCCGCACGAAAGGCGUAAUGAUUUGAGCACUGUCUCGACAAUGCAUCCGGUGAAAUUGAAGUACCAGUGAAGAUGCUGGUUACCCGCGCCAGGACGGAAAGACCCCAUGGAGCUUUACUCCAGUUUGGUACUGGGAUUCGGUACUGCACGUACAGGAUAGGUGGGAGACUUUGAAACUUGAACGCCAGUUUGAGUGGAGUCGCUGUUGGGAUACCACCCCUGCAGUAUUGGGUUUCUAACCAGUCACCGUGACCCGGUGAUGGGACAAUGCCAGGCGGGGAGUUUGACUGGGGCGGUCGCCUCCGAAAGGGUAUCGGAGGCGCUCAAAGGUUCCCUCAGAAUGGUCGGAAACCAUUUGAAGAGUGCAAAGGCAGAAGGGAGCUUGACUGCGACACCGACGGGUGGAGCAGGUAGGAAACUAGGACUUAGUGAUCCGGUGGCAUAAAGUGGGAUUGCCAUCGCUCAACGGAUAAAAGCUACCCUGGGGAUAACAGGCUUAUCACUCCCAAGAGUUCACAUCGACGGAGUGGUUUGGCACCUCGAUGUCGGCUCAUCGCAUCCUGGGGCUGUAGCAGGUCCCAAGGGUUGGGCUGUUCGCCCAUUAAAGCGGUACGCGAGCUGGGUUCAGAACGUCGUGAGACAGUUCGGUCCCUAUCCGGCGCGGGCGUAGGAUAUUUGAGAGGAGCUGCCCUUAGUACGAGAGGACCGGGGUGGACUGGCCUCUGGUGUAUCUGUUGAGCCAUCAGGUUCAUGGCAGAGUAGCCAAGCCGGGACGGGAUAAACGCUGAAGGCAUCUAAGCGUGAAGCCCCCCUCAAGAUGAGAUAUCUCAUACGCAAGUAGUAAGACCCCUUGAAGACGACGAGGUAGAUAGGUCAGAGGUGGAAGUGUGGUAACACAUGGAGCUGACUGAUACUAAUCGGUCGAGGGCUUGACCA
rnacentral:rRNA from 1 species